rnacentral:rRNA from 1 species
AUUGAACGCUGGCGGAAUGCUUUACACAUGCAAGUCGAACGGCAGCACGGACUUCGGUCUGGUGGCGAGUGGCGAACGGGUGAGUAAUGUAUCGGAACGUGCCCAGUCGUGGGGGAUAACGUAGUGAAAAUUACGCUAAUACCGCAUACGAUCUAUGGAUGAAAGCGGGGGAUCGCAAGACCUCGCGCAAUUGGAGCGGCCGAUAUCAGAUUAGGUAGUUGGUGGGGUAAAGGCCCACCAAGCCAACGAUCUGUAGCUGGUCUGAGAGGACGGCCAGCCACACUGGAACGGAGACACGGUCCAGACUCCGACGGGAGGCAGCAGUGGGGAAUUUUGGACAAUGGGCGGGGGCCUGAUCCAGCCAUUCCGCGUGCAGGAUGAAGGCCCUCGGGUUGUAAACUGCUUUUGUACAGAACGAAAAGGUUUCUACUAAUACUAGGAGCUCAUGACGGUACUGUAAGAAUAAGCACCGGCUAACUACGUGCCAGCAGCCGCCGUAA